GCCAGACUCCUACGGGAGGCAGCAGUGGGGGAUAUUGCACAAUGGGGGGAACCCUGAUGCAGCGACGCCGCGUGGGUGAAGAAGCGCCUCGGCGCGUAAAGCCCUUUCAGCAGGGAAGAAAAUGACGGUACCUGAAGAAGAAGCCCCGGCUAACUACGUGCCAGCAGCCGCGGUAAUACGUAGGGGCAAGCGUUAUCCGGAUUUACUGGGUGUAAAGGGGGCGCAGACGGCGAUGCAAGCCAGGAGUGAAAGGCCGGGGCCCAACCCCGGGACUGCAUUUGGAACUGGGUAGCUGGAGUGUCGGAGAGGCAGGCGGAAUUCCUAGUGUAGCGGUGAAAUGCGUAGAUAUUAGGAGGAACACCAGUGGCGAAGGCGGCCUGCUGGACGAUGACUGACGUUGAGGCUCGAAAGCGUGGGGAGCAAACAGGAUUAGAUACCCCCGUAA
rnacentral:rRNA from 1 species